GAUGAAGAACGUAGCGAAAUGCGAUAAGUAGUGUGAAUUGCAGAAUUCAGUGAAUCACCGAAUCUUUGAACGCACAUUGCGCCCUUUGGUAUUCCUUAGGGCAUGCCUGUUCGAGCGUCAUUUAAACCUUCAAGCUCAGCUUGGUGUUGGGUGACUGUCCGCUUCACCGCGGACUCGCCUCAAAAUUAUUGGCGGCCGGUACAUUGGCUCUCGAGCGCAGCAGAAACGCGUAACUCGAGGUCCUCGUGCUGGCUCCCAGAAGCUAUCUUCACAAUUUUGACCUCGGAUCAGGUAGGGAUACCCGCUGAACUUAAGCAUAUCAAUAAGCGGAGGA
rnacentral:misc_RNA from 1 species